rnacentral:rRNA from 1 species
GAUGAACGCUAGCGGUGAGCCUAACACAUGCAAGUCGAACGGCACUCUGCUUCGGUAGAGUGAAGUGGCGAACGGGUGAGUAAUGCAUAAGAAUCCACCCAGUAGCGCGGGAUACCCUUCGGAAACGGAGGACAAAACCGCAUGAACCCCGAGGGCAAAAGAUUCUGCUACUGGUCGAGCUUAUGUUGGAUUAGCUAGUUGGUGAGGUAACGGCUUACCAAGGCUUAGAUCCAUAGCUGGUCUGUGAGGAUGAUCAGCCACAUUGGGACUGAGAUACGGCCCAGACUCCUACGGGAGGCAGCAGUGAGGAAUAUUGGACAACGAGCGAAAGCUUGGUCCAGCUACACCGCGUGGAUG